rnacentral:rRNA from 1 species
AAUCAACGCUGGCGGCGUGCCUAACACAUGCAAGUCGAGCGAGAAAAGGGGGCAACUCCCUGAGUACAGCGGCGCACGGGUGAGUAACACGUGGGUAAUCUGCCCUGGAGUGGGGAAUAACACCGGGAAACCGGUGCUAAUACCGCAUACGAUCACGAUGUCUGCGGAUGACGUGAUGAAAGGAGCAAUUCGCUCCAGGAGGAGCCCGCGGCUGAUUAGCUAGUUGGUGAGGUAAUGGCUCACCAAGGCUACGAUCAGUAUCCGGUCUGAGAGGACGGUCGGACACACUGGAACUGAGACACGGUCCAGACUCCUACGGGAGGCUG